ACCUAGGAUGUAGAAGAGCAUAACAUGAGUGAUUCAGCAGAUUUGGAUUCCUAUAUAUCCACUCAUGUAGUACUUUAUUUCAUUUUACGA
rnacentral:pre_miRNA from 1 species